CCUACGGGUGGCAGCAGUGAGGAAUAUUGCUCAAUGGGCGAAAGCCUGAUGCAGCAACGCAGCGUGAAGGAAGACGGUUUUCGGGUUGUAAACUUCUGUUCUUAGUGAAGAAUAGUGACGGUAGCUAAGGAGCAAGCCACGGCUAACUACGUGCAAACAGCCGCGGUAAGACGUAGGUGGCGCGCGUUUUCCGGAUUUACGGGGUGUAAAGGGAGCGCAGGCGGGAAGCCAAGUCAGCUGUGAAAACUACGGGCUUAACUUGUAGACUGCAGUUGAAACUGGUUGUCUUGAGUGAAGUAGAGGUUGGCGGAAUUCGGAGUGUAGCGGUGAAAUGCGUAGAUAUUAGGAGGAACACCGGUUGCGAAGGCGGCCAACUGGGCUUUAACUGACGCUGAGGCUCGAAAGUGUGGGGAUCAAACAGGAUUAGAUACCCUGGUAGUC
rnacentral:rRNA from 1 species